AUUGAACGCUGGCGGCAGGCCUAACACAUGGAAGUCGAGCGGAUGAAGAGAGCUUGCUCUCUGAUUUAGCGGCGGACGGGUGAGUAACGCCUAGGAAUCUGCCUGGUAGUGGGGAUAACGUUCCGAAAGGAACGCUAAUACCGCAUACGUCCUACGGGAGAAAGCAGGGGACCUUCGGGCCUUGCGCCAUCAGAUGAGCCUAGGUCGGAGUAGCUAGUUGGUGAGGUAAUGGCUCACCAAGGCGACGAUCCGUAACUGGUCUGAGAGGAUGAUCAGUCACACUGGAACUGAGACACGGUCCAGACUCCUACGGGAGGCAGCAGUGGGGAAUAUUGGACAAUGGGCGAAAGCCUGAUCCAGCCAUGCCGCGUGUGUGAAGAAGGUCUUCGGAUUGUAAAGCACUUUAAGUUGGGAGGAAGGGCAGUAAGUUAAUACCUUGCUGUUUUGACGUUACCGACAGAAUAAGCACCGGCUAACUUCGUGCCAGCCGCCGCCGUAAGAC
rnacentral:rRNA from 1 species